rnacentral:rRNA from 1 species
GGAGGGGGCUAGCGUUAUUCGGAAUUAUUGGGCGUAAAGGGCGCGUAGGCGGCCCGGUAAGUCAAAGGUGAAAUCCCUCGGCUCAACUGAGGAACUGCCUUUGAAACUGUCGGGCUUGAGGCCGGGAGGGGGUAGCGGAAUUCCCAGUGUAGCGGUGAAAUCSGUAGAUAUUGGGAGGAACACCAGUGGCGAAGGCGGCUACCUGGACCGGUUCUGACGCUGAUGCGCGAAAGCGUGGGUAGCAAACAGGAUUAGAUACCCUGGUAGUCCACGCUGUAAACGAUGAGUGCUCGGUGUCGCGGGUAUCGACCCCUGCGGUGCCUUAGCUAACGCGUUAAGCACCCCGCCUGGGGAGUACGGUCGCAAGGCUG